ACGCUGAGGCACGAAAGCGUGGGGAGCAAACAGGAUUAGAUACCCUGGUAGUCCACGCCGUAAACGAUGAGUACUAAGUGUCGGGUUAAACCGGUACUGAAGUUAACACAUUAAGUACUCCGCCUGAGUAGUACGUACGCAAGUAUGAAACUUAAAGGAAUUGACGGGACUCCGCACAAGCGGUGGAUCAUGUUGUUUAAUUCGAAGAUACCCGAAAAACCUUACCAGGUCUUGACAUGUUUUUGCAAAAUGAUAGUAAUAUCGUGGAGGUUACCAGAAACACAGGUGGUGCAUGGUUGUCGUCAGCUCGUGUCGUGAGAUGUUAGGUUAAGUCCUAAAACGAGCGAAACCCUUAUCGUUAGUUGCCAGCACGUUAUGGUGGGGACUUUAACGAGACUGCCAAUGAUAAAUUGGAGGAAGGUGAGGAUCACGUCAAAUCAGCAUGCCCCUUAUGACCUGGGCUACAAACGUGAUACAAUGGCUGUUACAAAGGUAAGCCUGAAAGAA
rnacentral:rRNA from 1 species